GAAAUAAAGUACAAUUGCUUGCUAUGCCUUAAUCAGUUUUACUGAUUUUCAAUCUAUUACGUAAUAGAGUGUAUCAAUGAAUUAAAAGGCCGUCAUUAAAACUUUGGCUUGCAAAAAAAUACAAGAAAAAGUUACUAGAAGAGGAUCUUUUGAUUCUUAUAUUAUUAAAUAGUUGGAUCUUAGAUCCCAAUUAAAUAAUUAAAUAUUGUUUCAGGUUUCCGUGACAUGACUUAAGAAGGCGAUAAUUUCGCUUACAUUAAGGUUCCUGCUCUUACUCUCCACAACGAAAUCAAUUCGUAUUUGAAAAGACGAAUGAAUUUGGUGCAAAACAUCCGUCUAUACCAAUAACCGCGAUAAAUAAGAAACAACUUCCAUUGAAAGGCUUAUUCGAAACAUCAAGCGCAAUGUUUACCAAUAGUACGCAUCCUUAAUUCAGAAUAGUAGCAAUUUUUCGAAAAAACGGAUAUUCUCCAUACUUAGUAUAUUUGGAUGUUGCACAACCAUGUAACCGGUUGGAUAUUAAAAGGAGGAAAAACGUUUCUUGUUUGGCAUCUAUCUGUAAAUGAAGGAGUCGUUGUUAAAACAUUCUCCACGCCGACUACAUUCGUACAUAAAAAUUUUCGCAUAAACGACAAACGAAAUGGUUCCUAGUCCAAUGUUCACACAAAAAUCUGUAGUGAAUGGACGAAUAUUGGUUAUUGACUUCAAACAUCUAAGGAAACAUAAAUAGACGCAAGAUAUCAGAAUCGAACUAGCUUAUAUGUAAAAAUGUUCCUACCAACUAAUGCUCCUACGUACUUCGCAUGACACUAGAUAACAUAAAUAUUUCAAAUUUUAGAUCGCUAACAAAAAUUACAAAGCACAAUGAUAUUCAUGAAAGAUAUAUGUUGUUUAGCUUUGAACCUUUAUUGAAACUGGGAGUUCAUUUUAUUUAUGAAACAACCAUACAACGUUAUGAAGUAAUAUUUUUCUGAAUCCAAAGCUGAAGACGUUUAGUCCGUGAAAUUCAAACAUCCAUUUACAAUUGUGGUACCAAAAAGUUUCCCAGUCUGGAUUUCAAGAUGGCUACAGAAACUGCAAAUACGCCAAGACUCACGAAAAUGGAAGAGUUUUCCUUAUUGACGACUAAAAGAUGUUAAAUUAAUAGUUUUACAGGGACAUACCCUUUUUGAAAAUAUCUUUUUGAGCAGAAAUGCGAUCCAUUUUUGACUAAGUGGUUGAAGGAACGUGGCUAAAUACCGACUUGUAACGUAAUUUAACAUGACUGUGAUCGCUGCCAUAAACAGUGAUCAGGUAAAAUGUAUGGCUUCAAUAACCCUAAUUGAUAACCCUAAGAGCUAGCUGUAUGGAUUUUGUUUUGCAGUAGAGGAAACAUUCUAUACUGCAAUAGUUUUUUAAGACAAAACGCUUUAUAUUUAGUUUACUUGGUCUUACGAAAUAAUCAAGAGUAGCGCUGCGGAAACAAAUUUUUUCCUUUAAAAUUUUCCAUAAUCAUUAUCUUUUUUAGUAUUUUUUCAUUUUUUUUUCGGGGGAGG